GAAGGUAUAGCUCAAGUGAUAGAGCACAUGCUUAGUAUGCAUGAGGUCCUGGGUUCAAUCCUCACUACCUCCU
rnacentral:tRNA from 1 species